rnacentral:rRNA from 1 species
UACGUAGGGUGCGAGCGUUGUCCGGAUUUAUUGGGCGUAAAGGGCUCGUAGGCGGCCUGUCGCGUCGGGAGUGAAAGCCCACUGCUUAACGGUGGGUCUGCUUCCGGUACGGGCGGGCUGGAGUAUGGCAGGGGAGACUGGAAUUCCUGGUGUAGCGGUGGAAUGCGCAGAUAUCAGGAGGAACACCGAUGGCGAAGGCAGAUCUCUGGGCCGUAACUGACGCUGAGGAGCGAAAGCAUGGGGAGCGAACAGG